rnacentral:rRNA from 1 species
CCUACGGGGGGCUGCAGUGGGGAAUAUUGGACAAUGGGCGCAAGCCUGAUCCAGCAAUGCCGCGUGUGUGAAGAAGGCCUGCGGGUUGUAAAGCACUUUCGGUGGGGAAGAAAGGCUCAAAGUUAAUAUCUUUGAGAGUUGACGUUACCCACAGAAGAAGCACCGGCCAACUCUGUGCCAGCAGCCGCGGUAAUACAGAGGGUGCAAGCGGUAGUCGGAGUUAGUAGGCGUAAAGUUAAGUCGGGUGGAAAAUCCCCGGGCUCAACCUGGGAACCGCAUUCGAUACUGGAUAUUCUUGAGUAUGGUAGAGGAAAGCGGAAUUUCCGGUGUAGCGGUGAAAUGCGUAGAUAUCGGAAAGAACACCAGCGGCGAAGGCGGCUUUCUGGACCAAUACUGACGCUGAGACACGAAAGCGUGGGGAGCAAACAGGAUUAGAUACCCCAGUAGUC